UCGCUGUAGCUCGAUCAGCACACAGACGAUAGCUGGCUUCUAGUUGUAGAACAACCUYGGUCUCUACUUCAAAACAACUUCCAAAAUGAACUCAAAAGUAUUAAUCCUUCUCGUUGUUGUACUAGCAGCCACAUUUAUUACAGAAAGUGAAGGGUUUACGGCAGGAGCUGGAAAUAUAGGACGACGAGGACUGACAAGAGUACGGUUUGAAGGACUUUGCAGCGCCCUCGCCACAUACUGCACAGAAUUACCCGUCCAAAGACGAUUCACMGCCGAGUCGACAAAAGACCACGAAUGAACACAGAAUUAUAAUUAUUUAGAAUAAUGGAAAACAGAAGCAAUUGCUACYACCGGAAUUUCAAAUACYAAUACCCCCCUCAGUAAUACCUGGGACCAUCGAUCAACGACACAAGUUGUAAAUUUGUCAAUGUUUCAAUAAAUUAUUUGCAGCUGCAAA